CAAUAGCGUAUAUUAAAGUUGUUGCAGUUAAAAAGCUCGUAGUUGGAUUUGUGGCGUACGGUGUGUUCCGGGCACUUGUUGUCUGAGUAACCUGCUGUUGCCAUCCUUGGGUGGAACCUGUGUGGCAUUAGGUUGUCGUGCAGGGGAUGCCCAUCAUUUACUGUGAAAAAAUUAGAGUGUUCAAAGCAGGCUUAUGCCGUUGAAUAUAUUAGCAUGGAAUAAUGAGAUAGGACUUUUUUGCUAUUUUGUUGGUUUGUGCAAAGAGGUAAUGAUUAAUAGGGACAGUUGGGGGUAUUCGUAUUCCAUUGUCAGAGGUGAAAUUCUUGGAUUUUUGGAAGACGAACUACUGCGAAAGCAUUUACCAAGGAUGUUUUCAUUAA
rnacentral:rRNA from 1 species